AGAGGUGGUUUGGGGACCGAGCGGGACAGGGGCGUCCCACUGCCCGAUCCCACCCCGGCGCUUUGCAUAAAUAAAUAAAUCAUGCAGCAAGGGAGAGGUGGAGAGAGAGGGCGAGCAGAGGAGGUUACUUUGGGAAGCCGCGCAGCUCGCUCAUCCCAGCCCCGUAGUUCUGAGGCAGUGUGUCAUGUUACAGGGGUGCCACGAUCAGCCAGAGCACAGCGUCGCCGGAGCAGCUGAGAAUUACCUCUCUCUGAUGGGGACUUUCAUGUGUGAGCUCCUGGCCAGUCUGCGAAGGAACUGAAACCGACAGCUUAGAAAGAAUCAAAAAUCUACCAGCGAACCAAAAGACUGAAAUACAGGAGGAAAACCAAAAAAUCUUGAUCAGAUUACUUUUUUUUCUCCCUCAGACGCUUUGCUGCAGUUGGAUCCUUUUUUUUCUGCACCCCUUUUUAUGACAGGGAGGGAAUGUUGGAGGAGAAGAGCUGGAAAGGCGUCGAUGAAGCAGCUUUUGACAGGGGGUGUGUGGCUCCCCCCAGGACCAGCGAUGGGGAGAGAUGCUGCCGCCUCCCUCUCCUGCUGGGCUCAGGGCUGCCCGGCGUCUCCCUGCUUUCUCUGGUGCUGAGUCUCCUGCUGUAUUUUCGAACCUCCGAUCUGCAGUCCCGGGUGUCCCACUUGGAAGCGGACAGACCCACACAGCUCCCUGCCUGGUUCUCCGCAGACCAGAUGGAGACAGCUAUUUUGGGAAGAGUUGACCAACUGCUCAAUGAGAAAUUAAAGUUCCACUUGCCAAGACAUCGAGAAGUUCGAGACACCCACCAGCGAUGCAACUGCCCG